CAGAAGUUUAUAGAAGAAAUUGAUGAAAUGGUUGUCCUGGUCAAACCGAGUCCUCAACUGAGCAGUAAAGCUAUGGAUGGAAACCAGCACAAAGUGGAAGCGAACGUUUUGCUUCUUGGAGCGGAAAAUGUUGGGAAGUCAGCGCUCACUGUGCGUUUUCUCACCAGGAGAUUCAUCGGGGAAUACGGGGAUAUUGAAUCAAUAUACAGUCACAUUGACAAAACUGAUGGGCGAGAGAUCUCCUUAAAUAUUUGGGACUCUCUGUAUCCACAGAGCUGCGAAACAACCGAAUCCAUCAGUGACAAACAGCUUCAGUGGGCGGAUGGUGUGAUCCUUGUGUACAGCAUCUGUGAUCGCUCCAGCUUCGAAGUGGUGCGGCAACAGGUGCAGCUCAUCCGCCAGACCAGAAAGCUCUCCACGUCUGCUCCAAUCAUAAUCGUGGGGAAUAAGCGAGACCUGCAGCAUCAAAGAGCCGUGUCGAGCGAGGAGGGCAGACUGUUCGCCCUCUCCGCAGACUGCGGCUUCUUCGAGAUCUCCGCAGCUGAAACCUACCACGGCGUGCUGCUGGUCUUUCACGAAAUUCUGGACCUCAUCAGGGAGUCCAGAGCACUGAAAAAAGGCAUGGCUGGAAUCAAGGGCAUAGUCAGGAGCGUGUCCGCAGUUUUUGGGAAGAAAUGGGAGUAGAGAACUGAGAUGCCAUGCUGAGUUGAUAAUGAUGAUAUUAGUGCUGAUCAAAUCGCUCAUGGCAGAAGAGCAACUAAUAGUUCAGAAGACAACUUGGACUGACGUGGUCUGGGGACUGACACAAAGGGUUGCUUUUGUCUAAUAAACCUAAAUGAAGGGUAAAAAGAAUAAUGUUGAUAGCAGGUUAAAAUUUCAGGGCCCAGCCUUAUAGAGAAGAAAAGUCGUUUAAGUUUGUUUCAGCAAGGCAAUGAGGGGACUGCUGAAGAUAAGUGAUCCUGGGCCUUGAUGCAAGUCGGUUAGUGAAUGUGCAAUAAAUGAAAAGAGAGACGGUCCAGCUGUAGUCCUUGUAAUUUCUGAAAGAAUGAUCCUUCAGCCCUGAACAGAUAAGAUAGAGCUGAAUUCAAGUGAGCUUCUGCUCCAGAUCUAAGAUACUUUAAGUAGAGGAAUGGACUUUCUCCUUUUAUUGUCCGCCUCUGAAGAGUACCAUCUGACAGUGAGAAGUUAUUGAGAGUAACUAAAUGUAGUAAAAUGUAUAUAGAAAUUGUAUGUAUAUAUUGUAAUUUCCAGAACAUUUUUUUUUUUUUUCUUUCUAGUUUCUGAGGUUGGUGGUAGUACAGUUGAAUAACUGGUGAUAACAGGCUGUUAUCAGACUUCAUGUUCAUGAAUACGUACAGUACAAAGAGAAGAAAUUCCUUUUAUAGCGAUGAAUAUGCCUGGAUCUUUAACUUUUCUAUGAAAACAUGUUUAACUUGUAUAUUCGUCAAUGAUAGAUUUAGGAUUCAAUAAAGGAAAAUCAAAUACCUUUUGUUACACAAGUAUUGUGAUUUAAUAGCUAUUCUCUGCUCAAAUUAUCAAAACAACAUAAACAUUUUAUAAAAUGUUUUAUUACAUUUGUUUCAGGAAAAAGCACUAUAUGAGCUUAAGGCUGUGAGGAUUUGGGUGUAAACAAUAAAUCAUGUCAAACUUAAGCACCUAAAUAGUAAGAAUUCACCUAUACAUGUUGCACCAGAUCAAAAGUGCAGUUUAGAAUCUCACUGAAAUCAAGUCACUCUCGCCAAUCUUUUUCCAGUUCUAUUUUAAUUCCAAUAUUCUGUUCAGAUCAGUUAUAUGACACCUGUACUUUACACUAAAAAAACCAAAAAAUUUUAGCCUAAUUUUAAGAUUUACGCAUUUAAAUUUCAUAACAAAAUUCCAUCACAAUUCCAAAAUUGGAAUUUUAUGAAGUGUCUUUCUUUCAGUGACAUUGAUGCAGUUCACUUUGUUUUCCACUCUGUAACUUACAUGGACUAUCCUCUCUUUCAGUCGUGUGUAAAAAAAAUAUAUGCAUGCUGGAGUUUUAUUAGGUGAAGCUUUUAAAGUAAGCCAAGGAAUAGAAAUAUAUUGAUAUGUAAUAUGCUAAUAUUUGUAGAGUCAUAUAUAUACAGACUUUAUGCUCUCUCAUUUCAGCUUGUUGUCUCAAGUACAUUUAAAGUUACAAAACAACCCCCCACCCCCUGCAAUCAUUCCAGAUCUCACUUAAACUGUAUCAGACAGAAGCAUAUUAAAGCAGCUGUGACAAAAUAAU